UAAUACGGAGGGUGCAAGCAUUAAUCGGAUUUAUUGGGCGUAAAGGGCGCGUAGGUGGGUUUGUAAGUCAAGUGUGAAAUUCCGGGGCUCAACUUCGGAACUGCACGUGAAACUACAAGUCUUGAGGAUUGGCGGAGAAAACGGAAUUCCACAAGUAGCGGUGAAAUGCGUAGAUAUGUGGAAGAACACCGGUGGCGAAGGCGGUUUUCUAGCUUAUACCUGACACUGAGGCGCGAAAGCAAGGGGAUCAAACAGGAUUAGAUACCCUGGUAGUCCUUGCUGUAAACGAUGUAUACUUGAUGUAAUUGGGCUCAACCCUAAUUGUGUCGUAGCUAACGCGAUAAGUAUACCGCCUGAGGAGUACGCUCGCAAGGGUG
rnacentral:rRNA from 1 species